rnacentral:rRNA from 1 species
AACGCUAGCUACAGGCUUAACACAUGCAAGUCGAGGGGAAACGACAUUGAAAGCUUGCUUUUGAUGGGCGUCGACCGGCGCACGGGUGAGUAACGCGUAUCCAACCUGCCCACCACUUGGGGAUAACCUUGCGAAAGUAAGACUAAUACCCAAUGACGUCUCUAGAAGACAUCUGAAGGAGAUUAAAGAUUUAUCGGUGAUGGAUGGGGAUGUGUCUGAUUAGCUUGUUGGCGGGGUAACGGCCCACCAAGGCGACGAUCAGUAGGGGUUCUGAGAGGAAGGUCCCCCACAUUGGAACUGAGACACGGUCCAAACUCCUACGGGAGGCAGCAGUGAGGAAUAUUGGUCAAUGGGCGAGAGCCUGAACCAGCCAAGUAGCGUGCAGGAUGACGGCCCUAUGGGUUGUAAACUGCUUUUAUAGGGGAAUAAAGUGAGCCACGUGUGGUUUUUUGCAUGUACCCUAUGAAUAAGGAUCGGCUAACUCCGUGCCAGCAGCCGCGGUAAUACGGAGGAUCCGAGCGUUAUCCGGAUUUAUUGGGUUUAAAGGGAGCGUAGAUGGAUGUUUAAGUCAGUUGUGAAAGUUUGCGGCUCAACCGUAAAAUUGCAGUUGAUACUGGAUAUCUUGAGUGCAGUUGAGGCAGGCGGAAUUCGUGGUGUAGCGGUGAAAUGCUUAGAUAUCACGAAGAACUCCGAUUG